CCAACGUGGGCAUCCAGCGAGGUUGCUCUCGUCUGGCUCUGUCCGUGUGGCGCAUGGGAGCGUAGGCCUUUGGAUCUAUGACGUAUAGUCCCGUUCCAUAACGUUGGAGAGCAUGUAUGUCCCCAGCCUUUGGGCUGGUGAGGACAGUAUCCUGUAUAUUCCUAGACCUUCUCAGUGUGUGUGAAGUGACUGAGGAGAUAAACCAUGCAGGGUACAGUU